ensembl:ncRNA C34F6.14 ncRNA
CGUACGUCUUGAGUUAGCUGUCUGUAUGACGACGAGAAACAGCGGAAUGUAAAGAGAAAUAGGUAAGCACCGGGGCGCGACAAUGUCCACUACAUGUCAAAAACGGACGUGGACAGGGAG